UAGGGAAUCUUCGGCAAUGGACGGAAGUCUGACCGAGCAACGCCGCGUGAGUGAAGAAGGUUUUCGGAUCGUAAAGCUCUGUUGUUAGAGAAGAACGUUGGUAGGAGUGGAAAAUCUACCAAGUGACGGUAACUAACCAGAAAGGGACGGCUAACUACGUGCCAGCAGCCGCGGUAAUACGUAGGUCCCGAGCGUUGUCCGGAUUUAUUGGGCGUAAAGCGAGCGCAGGCGGUUCUUUAAGUCUGAAGUUAAAGGCAGUGGCUUAACCAUUGUACGCUUUGGAAACUGGAGGACUUGAGUGCAGAAGGGGAGAGUGGAAUUCCAUGUGUAGCGGUGAAAUGCGUAGAUAUAUGGAGGAACACCGGUGGCGAAAGCGGCUCUCUGGUCUGAAACUGACGCUGAGGCUCGAAAGCGCGGGGAGCAAACAGG
rnacentral:rRNA from 1 species